rnacentral:misc_RNA from 1 species
GAUGAAGAACGUAGCGAAAUGCGAUAGGUAAUGUGAAUUGCAGAAUUCAGUGAAUCAUCGAAUCUUUGAACGCACAUUGCGCCCCUUGGUAUUCCGAGGGGCAUGCCUGUUCGAGCGUCAUAUUAACCACUCCCGCUUGCGGGGUCUUGGGCUUCGCCUCCGGGCGGGCCUUAAAAUCAGUGGCGGUGCCGUCGGGCUCUACGCGUAGUAAAUUUUCUCGCGAUAGGGUCCCGGUGGAUGCUUGCCAACAACCCCCAACUUCUUAAGGUUGACCUCGGAUCAGGUAGGGAUACCCGCUGAACUUAAGCAUAUCAAUAAGCGGAGGA